CCCUUCACUGAAUUUCUUUACUAAGCAACCAGAUAGUGAAAACUAUGCUGUGAACCUCAUAAUUUCUGUUCUUUUAUAGGAGACAGCUGGGAAUGGUAACACCAGAUGUUCUGGACUGCAACCCCCUCUGAUCACCGACUGUAUGGUCCAGGGCUGACAGCCACUUUCGUGUAUAUCCUAUUUGUUUGGGCAAUGCAGAUGGAAGAAUUGGGAUUAGUUGGAAUAUUCACCAUAAGUAGUUCGCAUAUAUAUCCUGAUGGAAGAAAAACUAAGCACUCAGAGCUGGUAUAAUCCUUCCCACUCUAGGUACAUUUGGGUUUGAUGUGCUUCCUUUUUGCCUUGCACUGUGGCAGAGAUUAAACAUCUGCAGCCCAGCACGAUAGAGAGGCUUUCCCCCUAACUGCAGUGAGCAACAUUUUGUGACCCCAGCACCUUUUCCAGAUUCAUAAUGCCUUGAUGCCAGCCCAGCUUCACAAAAAGAAAAUAGCGAGAAAAAGUGACUACAGAUUACAUUUUUUUCAGUCUAAAAAAAAUAGCAAAAUGUUGAAAACUGUUUUAUAUUUCUUUAAUUCAAUGUCAUUGGAAGAAGGUACUUGUUAAGUACAGAGCUAGCAUGCUCACUCAGGCUAUUUAAUACUGACAAGUCAUUUAAAAGGAAUUUAAUACCUGUACUUUUAAGUAUCUGAUUUUAAAUUA